UUUCCUACGGGACGCAGCAGUGAGGAAUAUUGGUCAAUGGGAGGAAUCCUGAACCAGCCAUGCCGCGUGCAGGACGACGGCUCUACGAGUUGUAAACUGCUUUUGUACCGGGGUAAAAUGCCUUACGAGUAGGGUUUUGAAAGUACGGUACGAAUAAGGAUCGGCUAACUCCGUGCCAGCAGCCGCGGUAAUACGGAGGAUUCAAGCGUUAUCCGGAUUUAUUGGGUUUAAAGGGUGCGUAGGCGGUCGGAUAAGUUAGAGGUGAAAUCCCGAGGCUCAACUUCGGAAUUGCCUCUGAUACUGUU
rnacentral:rRNA from 1 species